rnacentral:tRNA from 1 species
AGACCCGUAGUGUAAGGGUAAGCGUGGCUUUCUCUCACCCAGUCGGCCUGGCUUCGAUCCCAGAGGGUCCC